GAGUGCGGGGCUCUAGUGCAGCUCGACUAGAGCCCUUAAAUGGUUCGGACACACAUCAUGUGUUCCGUGCUUUUG
rfam:Scotophilus bat coronavirus 512, complete genome